rnacentral:rRNA from 1 species
CCUACGGGUGGCAGCAGUGGGGAAUAUUGCACAAUGGGGGGAACCCUGAUGCAGCGACGCCGCGUGAGUGAAGAAGUAUUUCGGUAUGUAAAGCUCUAUCAGCAGGGAAGAAAAUGACGGUACCUAACUAAGAAGCCCCGGCUAACUACGUGCCAGCAGCCGCGGUAAUACGUAGGGGGCAAGCGUUAUCCGGAUUUACUGGGUGUAAAGGGAGCGUAGACGGUUAUGCAAGUCUGAAGUGAAAGCCCCAGGCUCAACCAUGGGACUGCUUUGGAAACUGUAAAACUGGAGUGCAGGAGAGGUAAGCGGAAUUCCUAGUGUAGCGGUGAAAUGCGUAGAUAUUAGGAGGAACACCAGUGGCGAAGGCGGCUUACUGGACUGUAACUGACGUUGAGGCUCGAAGGCGUGGGGAGCAAACAGGAUUAGAUACCCGAGUAGUC